GACGAACGCUGGCGGCGUGCUUAACACAUGCAAGUCGAACGGAAAGGCCCUGCUUUUGUGGGGUGCUCGAGUGGCGAACGGGUGAGUAACACGUGAGUAACCUGCCCUUGACUUUGGGAUAACUUCAGGAAACUGGGGCUAAUACCGGAUAGGAGCUCCUGCUGCAUGGUGGGGGUUGGAAAGUUUCGGCGGUUGGGGAUGGACUCGCGGCUUAUCAGCUUGUUGGUGGGGUAGUGGCUUACCAAGGCUUUGACGGGUAGCCGGGCUGAGAGGGUGACCGGACACAUUGGGACGGGGAUGCGGCCCAGACUCGUACGGGAGGCAGCGGUGGAGAAUAUUGCACAAUGGGCGGAAGCCUGAUGCAGCAACGCCGCGUGCGGGAUGACGUGCUUCGGGUUGUAAACCGCUUUCGCCUGUGACGAAGCGUGAGUGACGGUAAUGGGUAAAGAAGCACCGGCUAACUACGUG
rnacentral:rRNA from 1 species